GCGGUUGUGGUGAAGCGGUUAACACAGCGGAUUGUGGCUCCGUGAUGCGCGCGUUCGAAUCGCGUCAGCCGCC
rfam:Erysipelotrichaceae bacterium NYT-BL-F16 NODE_22_length_25436_cov_135.1_ID_43, whole genome shotgun sequence.